rnacentral:rRNA from 1 species
UACGUAGGGUGCGAGCGUUGUCCGGAAUUACUGGGCGUAAAGAGUUCGUAGGCGGUUUGUCGCGUCGUUCGUGAAAACUUGGGGCUUAACUCCAAGCGUGCGGGCGAUACGGGCAGACUUGAGUACUACAGGGGAGACUGGAAUUCCUGGUGUAGCGGUGAAAUGCGCAGAUAUCAGGAGGAACACCGGUGGCGAAGGCGGGUCUCUGGGCAGUAACUGACGCUGAGGAGCGAAAGCGUGGGGAGUGAACAGG